rnacentral:tRNA from 1 species
GGCUCGUUGGUCUAGGGGUAUGAUUCUUGCUUAGGGUGCGAGAGGUCCCGGAUUCAAAUCCCAGAUGAGCCC